GGUUGAUCCUGCCAGUAAUCAUAUGCUUGUGUCAAAGAUUAAGCCAUGCAAGUCUUAGUACAGGUGGAAAAAACCGAAACUGCGGAUGGCUCAAUAAAUCAGUCUCAAUUAAUUCAGUGAUUAGAAAGAGAAGGAUAACCCUGCUAAUUGUAGAGCUAAUACGAGAAGAAGACGCGGCGCUCUGCGGGGCGCUGCGGCACUUGCCAGCUCGAAAAAGGAUAGUGCGCUUCGCAAGGGGCGCAUGAAACUUGUCCGCCGAAAGGCGCCGCAAAGGAAGCAAAAGGGAAAAAGA
rnacentral:rRNA from 1 species